AUCGGUCCUUGUAGCAUAGUGGGGAGUAUACUGUCUGUCAGGCAGGUGACCCGGGUUUGAUCCCGGCAACGGAGAUUCAACGAGACCGUUUCCGGCAAUCCGUUGAAGUAAAAGAUCGUUUUGACAGCGCAAAUUCAAUUUUGAAAUUCCCUCGAAAAAUUAGUAAAGAUUUCUCCCGCCCAAAUCCUUUCCAUGCUUUCGUUAUUGCCUCUGUAGUGCCUCAGUCAUCAGCGCCGUUACUUCCUCCGUCGCCCCCUGUUGUGUGAUGAGGCCAUUUCCGUCGUCGCCUUUGUUCCGAUGUUUCUUCAUCGUCGACGUUAGAGAUUCUAUUAUCGCCUCUUACCAGGCAUUUUACAUGCAAAUAAAAAAACAUAAAAUCAGAAAUCGUCGUCGCCUGAGAGAUUCGAACUCUCGCGGGGAGACCCCAUGUACUUAGCAGGCACACGCCUUAACCACUCGGCCAAAGCGACUUUGUUAUGGCUCUGGUGUUAAGGGUUGUUCUUUCUGAACAUUCACAAGUUGGGAUGAUUCCAAAAAAAAUCAUGAAUUCAGAUGAUUCUUUGUGUGAAUCUGAAUCGACUUUGUGGAUACACUUUUUUUGCUUAAUCUUUGAAACAAGGUUGUUUAUAAUUUGGUUGCAGGUUAUGAUUAGAAUUCAUGUUCUUGGCCAAUAUUGUUGUCAUUAAUCUUCUCUCUCGGUAAUAAUUCAAAUUUUUUAUUGUCGUUGUUUCUUUAUCAUGUUACUUUUGCGGGAAGUAUGGGUAGGGCGAUGAAAGAGAGGUUUAGUUAAUUUCAAUGUGUUGGUCGUUGUAGUAUAGUGGUGAGUAUUCCCGCCUGUCACGCGGGUGACCCGGGUUCGAUCCCCGGCAACGGCGAUUUAUGUUUUUGGUGUCAUUUACACUCUCUUCUCCAGAAGUGAGAUUCAAAUUGCUGCUUUGUUUGACCCAUCUACUCGCCUACCUCCGUGGUUCUCUGAGGAAGAUCUUGCGACCUAUGCAUCUUUAUAUGAACUUUAUAUUUUAAUUUUCCUGUUCAUAAUGUCAGCCUUGGGGAUGGGUACUGUGGUCUUCGGAACAUUUAAAAUUUAAUGCAAAGCAUGUCUACUGUUGUUUGAGAGAGCUGGGAUGGACCUUUUUAUAAUUUUCUAUUGUGUGAUUUAAAUCUUUGUUGCAUUAUUUUGCUUGAAUGUAAAUUUCGUUCUAUUAAGGGUUACUUUGAAAAGCUGGAAAAGCUGGAUGUUGUAAAUUGCUUUUUUGCCAAUCUUUUUUCUCAAUCUUGUUUGCAGGAGGACUUUAACUCUUGAAUUUUUGAAAAUUACCACCUCCUGUUAUAGAUAUUUGAGAGGUCCCAUGGAUUUUUUUGGCUCAAUUAUGAUGGUCUGAUACGGCUGUGCGCAGGCUGUGCCGCUCCAAGAAUUAUAAGGCUCAGAACUCCAGAAAAGGUCAAAGGAUUUGAUGCACAGGAUUAUAAAUGAAUUUGUACUUCGUAGGUUUACUCGUGUUAGAGCUCCACCUUGGUAGAAUUCUGCUAAUGCUUUCCUAAGAUAUGUUAACAAGUGGAAAUAAGAAUAGGUUGUGCUAGGAGCAAAUACACUAAAGCUUAGAAUUUUUUAUGGAACGAGUUUGAUCCAUUGUGUUGGCAGUAGUAGAGUCUAAGUAGUUUUCCCAUCCAUUUUUUUAUGAUGGACCAGCAUGUAUGCUUGUUUCAGAAAUUGUGUACAUUACUUAUUCUAUUAUUCAGUAGUAACAAAAAUAUA